GAUGAAGAACGCAGCGAAAUGCGAUAAGUAAUGUGAAUUGCAGAAUUCAGUGAAUCAUCGAAUCUUUGAACGCACAUUGCGCCCGGCAGUAUUCUGGCGGGCAUGCCUGUUCGAGCGUCAUUUCAACCAUCAAGCCCCCGGCUUGUGUUGGGGACCUGCGGCUGCCGCAGGCCCUGAAAACCAGUGGCGGGCUCGCUAGUCACUCCGAGCGUAGUAAUACAUCUCGCUCAGGGCGUGCUACGGGUUCCGGCCGUUAAAAGCCUUAUUUACCCAAGGUUGACCUCGGAUCAGGUAGGAAGACCCGCUGAACUUAAGCAUAUCAAUAAGCGGAGGA
rnacentral:misc_RNA from 1 species